rnacentral:tRNA from 1 species
UCCCUGAUGGCUCAAAUGGUAAAAGAGUCUGCCUGCAAUGCAGGAGACCUGGGUUCGAUCCCUGGGUCGGGAA